rnacentral:rRNA from 1 species
CUCGACAAUGGAUAUCUCGGCUCUUGCAUCGAUGAAGAACGUAGUGAAAUGCGAUACCUGGUGUGAAUUGUAGAAUUCUGUGAACCAUCGAGUUUUUGAACACAAGUUGCGCCCGAAGCUUUCAGGCCAAGGGCAUGUCUUCCUGGGCGUCACG